GGGAAAAAUAAUUCGAGAGAGAGAGAGAGAGAGAGAGAGAGAGAGAGUUGUUUUUCUGUGGUUUCUGUUGAGAGUGAGAGAGAGAUCGAUUGAGUGAGGGAGGGAGGACUGUGGAGUCAGUAGCUUGCUUUGUGUGGGAUUUUGUCAAGGUGGUGAACUCUUGUAAUAGAGAGUUGGAGCAAUGCUUUGGAGUCCAGUGGUGAGAAGGAAUUGGAAAUGAGGGUAGCUGGAAAGGAUCUUUUGUAUAGUUGAGCUAAAAUCUUAGCAAGUACCAGGUCUCAGGCGAGCCCACUGUGCACAGAUUCUUUAAAGGUAAUUCGGGACUGGCGACAAAGGGUUUUGGCAAGAUGACUAACAAAAGGGGAAAUUGGGAUGAUUGAGUUACAGGGGGUUAAUUUGUAUAUUAGAACAUUCGAACCACCACUGCAGAGGUAAAAUGCACGGUAUGGGACGUGCAGGUCUGCAUGUUUUAUUAUAUGAAUUAACGGGUAGAGAUGAGUAUUGCAUUGCACUCAUACAUUGUUAUUGAUAAUGAUUUGGUACUUGAUUAAAUGAUUUUAUAACAUGUAAUUUAGUAUUGUCAAUUUACUGUGGUAAGGUUAUGUCCCUACUGAGCUGUUGAAGCUCACCCCUCUAUUGUUAUGCAGGUUUACUAACUAAAUUGUCAAAAGGGUAGACAGGAUGAAACGAGAUAGAUGUGAGGCUAGAAUUUGUAUUUAUUUAUUUAGCUUUGUAAAGAAUUCUGGAUUUCUUUUUAUAAGAGGAAUUUUAUUUUUCA